GAUGAACGCUAGCGGUAGGCCUAACACAUGCAAGUCGAACGGUAACAGAGGAGCUUGCUCCUGCUGACGAGUGGCGAACGGGUGCGUAACACGUAUGCAACUUACCUCUAUCAGGGGAAUAGCCCAGAGAAAUUUGGAUUAAUACCCCAUAGUAUCACAUUAUCGCAUGAUUUUGUGCUUAAAACUCCGGUGGAUAGAGAUAGGCAUGCGGCCCAUUAGUUUGUUGGUGAGGUAACGGCUCACCAAGACUACGAUGGGUAGGGGGUCUGAGAGGAUGAUCCCCCACACUGGUACUGAGACACGGACCAGACUCCUACGGGAGGCAGCAGUGAGGAAUAUUGCGCAAUGGACGAAAGUCUGACGCAGCCAUACCGCGUGCAGGAAGACGGCCCUACGGGUUGUAAACUGCUUUUGUUUGCCAAGAAACCCACCUACGUGUAGGUGGCUGACGGUAGCAUUCGAAUAAGCACCGGCUAACUCCG
rnacentral:rRNA from 1 species